rnacentral:rRNA from 1 species
CAGUCGCCGCGGUAAUACGUAGGUGGCAAGCGUUGUCCGGAAUUAUUGGGCGUAAAGGGCUCGCAGGCGGUUUCUUAAGUCUGAUGUGAAAGCCCCCGGCUCAACCAGGGAGGGUCAUUGGAAACUGGGAAACUUGAGUGCAGAAGAGGAGAGUGGAAUUCCACGUGUAGCGGUGAAAUGCGUAGAGAUGUGGAGGAACACCAGUGGCGAAGGCGACUCUCUGGUCUGUAACUGACGCUGAGGAGCGAAAGCGUGGGGAGCGAACAGGAUUAGAUACCCCUGUAGUCCCUGUCUCUUACAC